rfam:Picea glauca, whole genome shotgun sequence.
UAAAACAUAUUGUUAAUGCACUGGAACCCAUUAGAACUUUGCAAUUAAGCAUGCUUAGGCUAGAGUAGUACUAGGAUGGGUGACCUCCAGGGAAGUCCUAGUGUUUUAC